CCCGCACAAGCGGUGGAGCAUGUGGUUUAAUUCGACGCAACGCGAACGAACCUUACCAGGUCUUGACAUCCCGAUUGCUAUUUCUAGAGAUAGAAAGUUACUUCGGUACAUCGGUGACAGGUGGUGCAUGUUGUCGUCAGCUCGUGUCGUGAGAUGUUGGGUUAAGUCCCGCAACGAGCGCAACCCCUAUUGUUAGUUGCCAUCAUUCAGUUGGGCACUCUAGCGAGACUGCCGGUAAUAAACCGGAGGAGGUGGGAUGACGUCAAAUCAUCAUGCCCCUUAUGACCUGGGCUACACACGUGCUACAAUGGUUGGUACAACGAGUUGCGAGUCGGUGACGGCGAGCUAAUCUCUUAAAGCCAAUCUCAGUUCGGAUUGUAGGCUGCAACUCGCCUACAUGAAGUCGGAAUCGCUAGUAAUCGCGGAUCAGCACGCCGCGGUGAAUACGUUCCCGGGCCUU
rnacentral:rRNA from 1 species